rnacentral:rRNA from 1 species
AUUGAACGCUGGCGGCAGGCCUAACACAUGCAAGUCGAGCGAGCGGCGGACGGGUGAGUAAUGUAUGGGGAACUGCCUGAUGGCGGGGGAUAACUACUGGAAACGGUAGCUAAUACCGCAUACCAUCAGAUGAACCCAGAUGGGAUUAGCUAGUUGGUAGGGUAACGGCUAACCUAGGCGACGAUCCCUAGCUGGUCUGAGAGGAUGAUCAGCCACACGGGAACUGAGACACGGGCCAGACUCCUACGGGAGGCAGCAGUGGGGAGUAUUGCACAAUGGGCGCAAGCCUGAUGCAGCCAUGCCGCGUGUAUGAAGAAGGCCUUCGGGUUGUAAAGUACUGUCAGCCGGGAGGCGUUACCGACAGAAGAAGCACCGGCUAACUCCGGGCCAGCAGCCGCGGUGAUAC